rnacentral:rRNA from 1 species
UACGUAGGGUGCGAGCGUUAAUCGGAAUUACUGGGCGUAAAGCGUGCGCAGGCGGUUGUGCAAGACAGAUGUGAAAUCCCCGGGCUCAACCUGGGAACUGCAUUUGUGACUGCACGACUAGAGUACGGCAGAGGGGGGUAGAAUUCCACGUGUAGCAGUGAAAUGCGUAGAGAUGUGGAGGAAUACCGAUGGCGAAGGCAGCCCCCUGGGUCGAUACUGACGCUCAUGCACGAAAGCGUGGGGAGCAAACAGG